rnacentral:rRNA from 1 species
CCUACGGGAGGCAGCAGUAAGGAAUAUUGGUCAAUGGACGAAAGUCUGAACCAGCCAUGCCGCGUGAAGGAUGAAGGCCCUCUGGGUUGUAAACUUCUUUUAUCUGGGACGAAAAAAGCUCAUUCUUGAGCACUUGACGGUACCAGAGGAAUAAGCACCGGCUAACUCCGUGCCAGCAGCCGCGGUAAUACGGAGGGUGCAAGCGUUAUCCGGAUUCACUGGGUUUAAAGGGUGCGUAGGUGGGUCUGUAAGUCAGUGGUGAAAUCUCCGAGCUUAACUCGGAAACUGCCAUUGAUACUAUAGGUCUUGAAUCAUCUGGAGGUGAGCGGAAUAUGUCAUGUAGCGGUGAAAUGCUUAGAUAUGACGUAGAACACCAAUUGCGAAGGCAGCUUACUACGGGUGUAUUGACACUGAGGCACGAAAGCGUGGGGAUCAAACAGGAUUAGAUACCCUGGUAGUCCACGCCCUAAACGAUGGAUACUCGACAUCAGCGAUACACUGUUGGUGUCUGNGNGAAGANAUAAGUAUCCUACCGUGGUUAGUUAGUACGCGAGUAGAAGUUACGAAGAAGUUAGAGGCGNGAGAGNGCGACGGACGACGACGAGGGAGGAGGAG